ensembl:lncRNA
CCCGGAUGGGCGUCUCCGAUCACAGACUGGAGGACAGCUGAGGUCUGCUGUAGGCAUGCGGUCAGGGAGGGGACUGGACACGGCCCCCCUGGGGGUGCUCACAUCCCACCGCAGACUGGAGCUCUUCCUUUGUGGGAACACUUGCUCUCAGAGGCACCAUCUGGAUCAUCUUGUGCCUCAGCUGGUAAAGAAUCCACCUGCAAUGCAGGAGACCUGGGUUCGAUCCCUGGGUUGGGAAGAUCCCUUGGAGCAGGGAACAGCGACCCACUCCAGUAUUCCUGCCUGGAGAAUUCCACGGAACGUACAGUCCGUGGGGUCGCACAGAGUAGACAUGACGGAGCAACUUUCAUUUUCACUAAUAAAUAAUGUACCAUCAGGAUCAGUAAACAUUCUAUUUUCUAAUAACUUUUGGGAAAGAAAACGUAUUUGAAAUUGCAUUCCAAGCACAGGUUAAGAUAUAAUGGAAAAUCAGCUUGGAUAAUCUAUGACUGAAUUUCAUGAGCCUGUGAGUCUUAUGUUUGACACUAAAUUCUAAGGUACAAUUUUAAUAGAAUAAACGUGACAAUGUUGUUGGAACAAAGGGAAAGGGCAGAGCAGAGAUAACUGAAGAACCGCUGGAGAAGGGACAGGCUAACCACGCUAGUAUUCUUGGGCUUCCCUUGCGGCUCAGCUGGUAAAGAAACUGCCUGCAGUGAGGGAGACCUGGGUUUGAUCCCUGGGUUGGAAGAUCCCCAGCAGAAGGGAAAGGCUACCCGCUCCAGUAUUCUGGCCUGGAGAAUUCCAUGGAGUGUACAGUCCAUGGGGUCUCAAAAAAGUCAGACACGACUGAGCGACCUUCAGUUCCCUUCACGUCACAGGCUGUAGGGCGUGAGCUUCAGUAGUUGUGGCUUGCAGGUUCAGAUGCCCUGCAGCAUGUAGAUCUUCCCGGACUGGGGACCGAACCCUCGUCACCUGUUUCGACAGGAAGAUUGUUAACCACUGGACCACCAGGGAACACCCCCCCUCCCCUGCUUUUUCUUAAGUCAGCCCAGCUCACUCACCACAGAGACUCUCCUGUCGUGUCCCUCAGCCCAGAGCACCCUCUCCAGUUUCC